rnacentral:rRNA from 1 species
UGGGGAAUUUUGGACAAUGGACGCAAGUCUGAUCCAGCCAUGCCGCGUGCGGGAAGAAGGCCUUCGGGUUGUAAACCGCUUUUGUCAGGGAAGAAACGAGUUUCUCUAAUACAGAGACUUAAUGACGGUACCUGAAGAAUAAGCACCGGCUAACUACGUGCCAGCAGCCGCGGUAAUACGUAGGGUGCAAGCGUUAAUCGGAAUUACUGGGCGUAAAGCGUGCGCAGGCGGUUGUGUAAGUCAGAUGUGAAAUCCCCGGGCUCAACCUGGGAAUUGCAUUUGAGACUGCACGGCUAGAGUGUGUCAGAGGGAGAUGGAAUUCCGCGUGUAGCAGUGAAAUGCGUAGAUAUGCGGAGGAACAGCGAUGGCGAAGGCAAUCCCCUGGGCCUGUACUGACGCUCAUGCACGAAAGCGUGGGGAGCAAACA